AUGGUUUUUAACCAUCAAAAGAACAUGGUCAUGUCUUGGACAACAGUGCUCUCGGUCUGCUUCUUGAUAGGAACAAUUUCUACUGCUCCAGCUCCAGCUCCAUCAUCACCCCGGCAUUUCAAGAAAAGCCUUGAACUUUUAUACCACCGCCUACAGAAAGAGUGUACUGCGACGAAGUUUGGAGAAUGCUGGGACCACGAAAUAACAGAAGUUAAAUUUCACGUCAACUGCACUCAAGCAAUUUACGAAAACAUGUUCUGUCAAGCCGACAAAGCUUUGAGGAACUUCAAUUGUACAUCAUAUGGCAGAGUGGUGCCGAAUAUCACAAUACCCAGUGAUCUGCAAGGGAACCAGGCCAACUGCAGUCCACGAAAUACUAGCCUUGCUCUGAAAGAAUUCUGCUCGCUACUGAACAGUACCAUUGACGAACUCUUUAGAGAAUGUUGAUAGAAGGAGCAACAGAACUGACAUCCUUGGGUAACAGCCGUCCACAACAACAACAAAAAGUAUUGUACACACACAAAAAAAACCUGGCAUAUUUCCCAAAACACCUAUAACUUUCCAAACUUGUUACCUUUCUAUUUUUCAAUUAAGAAAUCCAAUUGUGCAUGCCAUCUGCCACAAUUAUUUACAAAAAAUUUAAACAACCUUAUACAGAUGCAUCCCCUGUCUUGGAGAUUAGCUGAACUUGCUUUUUAUGGUAGGUAGGUAGAUUCAUGUAUAGAAAACACUGGUAAGAAGGUGCAUGCAAUAUCACACACUGUGCUGUUCACCUUUUCAGUUAUUAUAACAUUGUAAAUGAUCCAUUCACUAGGUUGGACUAAAAUUCUUUUCAAGUCAAGUAGGCCCAAGAGAACAAAAGGGCAGCCUUACAUCUUGGAAGCAAUAGGGACCAGGCAAGUUAAACCAGCACUAUAAGCUAUAUAACAAAUAUUUGAUUUUAGUACUGGUUACACUCCUUUCCCAUAGUUUCUGAUGCAUGGGCCCAUGCAGGGCCAAAGACUCAGGGUGUUCUCAUAUCUGUCAUUAUUAAAGUGAUUUUGAAUGGUUGAUUCCUCUUUCCCUUGCCACUUGAAAAGAAUCAAAGAGAAAUAAUGAUUUAAUUUAUUAAUAUUUAACCUUCACUAUUUUCUUUCAAAUCAUUUGUAGUAUUAGCAAGUACAGUAGUCAGUUUCCAUGGUGUGCCAUUACUGUCUGAAUUGUUCUGCCGAGGCCUAGGGAAUACCAGAUAAAUCCACUGGAACAGGUCAAUUGAAAGCAUUGAAUUUACAUUACUUAUGACUAACUAGAUCCAUUUAUUUCAAUGGGUCUACUUCAGUUGUGAGUACCAUUAGAUUUAGGCCAGUAUCAUCAGAAAUACUUUGCAGAUGUAUAGUAAAAUAGUUGUCUGUAUUUAUCCAUCCAUUCCUAGGAUGCAGCAGUGUGUGAAAGGGUUGGAAUAUAUUUUAUUGCCCGCUUAGUAAUAUCAUGACAUAUUUAUUCAUAUUUUAUUUAACAUAUUUAAUAUUAUAUAUUUGGAAUAUUAUAUAUUCUAAAUAUAUUCUGAUUAUCAUCAGAAAACAAAAUUGUGCUUAAGUUCAACAAGCGCAACAAACUAAUCAUGCACACAAUGCCCUUCCUGAAGAGGGAGUUAAAGCCAUUAUUUAAUAUUUAAGUUAUAUAUUUUGUUGUUCUUGGUUAUAUUAUUAGCAUUUUCUGUUAUCUUCACUUAAAUGUUAUUAUUUCUGUCAGCUUUUGUAAUUUCCUGUAGACCUAUAAUUUAAUAUGUAUUGCAUUUGAACUGAUAAUGUAUUUAACUGUUGCACAGAUAUUAUAUAUCUUAUAUUUUUAUAUCAAGUUUUUAAAGGGAAUAUAUGUUUCAGUUAUACCAAAUAAAUAAUUCAGUUACACACA
ensembl:lncRNA